rnacentral:rRNA from 1 species
AAUAUUUCGCAAUGGGGGGAACCCUGCCGCAGCGACGCCGCGUGCGCGAAGAAGGCCUUCGGGUCGUAAAGCUCUGUCCUCAGGGAAGAAGAAAGUGACGGUACCUGGGAAGAAAGCUUCGGCUAACUACGUGCAAGCAGCCGCGGUAAUACGUAGGGGGCGAGCGUUGUCCGGAAUUACUGGGCGUAAAGGGUACGUAGGCGGCUAUAUAAGUCAGAUGUGAAAUACCAGUGCUUAACACUGGAAUUGCAUUUGAAACUGUGUAGCUUAAGUGCAGGAGAGGAAAGUGGAAUUCCUAGUGUAGCGGUGAAAUGCGUAGAGAUUAGGAGGAACACCAGUGGCGAAGGCGACUUUCUGGACUGUAACUGACGCUGAGGUACGAAAGCGUGGGUAGCGAACA